rnacentral:tRNA from 1 species
AGAGUAGUGGCUCAGUGUGUAGAGUACCUGCUUGGCAAGCAGGAGGACCUGAGUUUGAACCACAGACACUG